rnacentral:lncRNA from 1 species
UUUAAAUUAAUUUUGUGAUAAAUAGUAUUAAAUAAUAGAAUCCGAAGAUCCAAGUUUAAGUGAUUUGUUAAUUACAAGGAGUUGUGAUUGUGAGAUACAAAUUACAUAUAAUUGGAUCUUGAAUAAACCGUGGUCGUAAGUAAUAACGAGAUACGGAUAUCGUUAAUACAGUUAGAUCAUCACGUGUGGCAUUUCUUACGUGUAAAGUAAGUAGCUGAUCUCACGAGCUAAAGUGUGGUGACACUUAAAUGAACACGUUGAUAUUUUUGUUAUAGAACAAAACAUUGGAGACCCACUAAGAGAUUCCACAUGGAUAACUAUCUGAGUAUCAGUAGUUAAUCUCUAACGUUCGGUAAUGAAAUUGGUCCUACAACUUGAGGUCAUCAUAGUCCCUUGUAUGAGGACAGUCAUAUUUUGACAGUGUUGGAUGUUGCUCUGCCAAUGGCUGCUAAUACGACAUCGUUCGCGUAUGUCAAGAACCAUAUGAAGGUUGUGAAUAACCAAUAGAUGAUUCGUCACUCUUAGAUAGUAAGAGAUUGUGAUCUGCAUUUCGUUCAAUUAAGUCAAUAACGAAAUUUUUGGCCAAGGUGUAUAUAUAAGUCGAAAAAGAGUUUUCGACUCAUAUUGACUUAAUAGAAGAAUGAAAGAUAUGAUCGAUAAUCGAGAUUGACACACUUCCAUAUUUCGUAGUUGAUUGGAUCAUAUUGACGAAUGGAUGAUAAUUUCAUGGUAAACGAACAGUUUUGGUUUUGUCAUACCACGUGACAUUUUCCGUCACAUGUGUUGCCCUGAUACAUUGCUAGACGUCAAUUUGGGACGACGAGUGUGAAUCUGUGAUAAAUUAAAAGGGUGUUUAAUUUAUCAGUUUUGAUUAGAUCAAAAUAAUAUUUCACGUCGUUAGGUAUCAUGGUCGGGAACCUAAUGGGUCGCACAUAAAAGAGAAUUGAAAGAUUGCAGAUUGCCAAUUAAUUAAUUUAACAAUCGUUGGAUAAAUUAAUUAAUUGGAUUUGUUAUUUAUAUUCCCGAAUUAAUUAAUUGGAUUAAUUAAUUCACGGACCGAAUUUAAUUAAAUGGAUUAAUUAAACAUUAGACCGGACCGGACUGAGCCCGUUUGAGUUUAUAUAAAUACAUGACUAGAGUUUGAGGUUCAUAAGGUUUUCAUUAUCCUUGCUGGUACACGAGGAAAAACCCUAGCAGUUGCAGUUUAUUCUCUGUGUGGAUUUCAUUGGAGGCUGGACAAUUGGACAGCUGUGGGAGGCAGAUUCAAACUGCUUAAAAGGAAUAACGUGAAGGAAUUUGCAAAAUCAAGAAAAGGUAUAUUUCUUAUCACAGUUCUUAUCUAAAUACAAAGUUGAAUCCUGAAUGAGAAUUGAAAUUUGUUUAAUUCCGCUGUGCAUGUUUAAGUAAAUUCCCAAUAAGUAGAAAUACAAAAAGAAACAAAUUAAGUACUAUUAGGCAAUGCAAAUGAU